rnacentral:rRNA from 1 species
CCUACGGGUGGCAGCAGUGGGGAAUAUUGCACAAUGGGGAAACCCUGAUGCAGCGACGCCGCGUGAGUGAAGAAGUAUUUCGGUAUGUAAAGCUCUAUCAGCAGGGAAGAAAUAGCGACCUUUGGGUCUCCCGUCGGUCCCUGCCUACGAAGCCCCGGCUAACUACGUGCCAGCAGCCGCGGUAAUACGUAGGGGGCAAGCGUUAUCCGGAUUUCCUGGGUGUAAAGGGAGCGUAGACGGCAGCACAAGUCUGAAGUGAAAGGCCGGGGCUUAACCCCGGAACUGCUUUGGAAACUGUGCAGCUAGAGUGCAGGAGAGGUAAGUGGAAUUCCUAGUGUAGCGGUGAAAUGCGUAGAUAUUAGGAGGAACACCAGUGGCGAAGGCGGCUUACUGGACUGUAACUGACGUUGAGGCUCGAAAGCGUGGGGAGCAAACAGGAUUAGAUACCCCGGUAGUC